ACAUGCAGUCGAACGGCAGCACGGGGGCAACCCUGGUGGCGAGUGGCGAACGGGUGAGUAAUACAUCGGAACGUGUCCUGUAGUGGGGGAUAGCCCGGCGAAAGCCGGAUUAAUACCGCAUACGCUCUACGGAGGAAAGGGGGGGAUCUUCGGACCUCUCGCUACAGGGGCGGCCGAUGGCAGAUUAGCUAGUUGGUGGGGUAAAGGCCUACCAAGGCGACGAUCUGUAGCUGGUCUGAGAGGACGACCAGCCACACUGGGACUGAGACACGGCCCAGACUCCUACGGGAGGCAGCAGUGGGGAAUUUUGGACAAUGGGGGCAACCCUGAUCCAGCAAUGCCGCGUGUGUGAAGAAGGCCUUCGGGUUGUAAAGCACUUUUGUCCGGAAAGAAAACUUCUGCCCUAAUACGGCGGGAGGAUGACGGUACCGGAAGAAUAAGCACCGGCUA
rnacentral:rRNA from 2 species